UUAACCUAUGAGUUCUCGACUGAUAUAUAUAAAUUUCAGUUAAAAUAUAUUCAAUUUAAUUAGUCAAAAACUAAAAUGGAUAUGUAAAACAAGACAAAGUAAUUACUUCGAUUUCUUCAUCAUUUUCACUUUCCAUCAUCGCUGAUGACAUUUUCAUUAGUAAACAUCUGCCACACAGAUCCCACCACUUUGUUCUCCGUUUACUUUGUAAGAGUGUAGGUCAGUUGUGUCGCAUGGCUUUUUCAGCACUCAUAAUUGUGUGCUCGUCUUCCUUUAGGAACUAUAAUCCAAUAAGAAGGUUCUAGUUUUCUGCAUCAGCUAAAUUUCUGCUCUGGAUCUCCUCACUUGAUAGUUCUCGAUAAACAAUUUCUGAUUCAGCUAAAUUUCUGCUCUGGAUCUCUUCUCACUUGAUAGUUCUCGAUAAACAAGUUCGUUCAGUUCCUGUAAUCAGUAAUAUCGCAGGGCCAAGCAAGCUUUGUCCUGUAUCUGCUAAUUUGUUCUCUGGUCAAAAGCAACACAUGUAGGCAGACACAAAUACUACUGGCUCACCCUAUCACGCUUUCCCGUCAACAUGGGAGGAGGAAUGGGGUGUCUCUCUGCAUGGCGUACAGGAUCAAACCUUGAAGGGAAGUAAUUGACCUGUAAGAUAUCAAUUGUUUGAUUAUUACGAGGUGACAAGUAGGCUUAGUUGUAAGAAAGUAUCACAUAUAAAAGAAAAUAAGAUCAUCUAAUUGGGAGGUCCAGUACCUCCUCAUCCCUGUGCAUAAAAUUCAUUAAACCGUCAUGGUGAUUGUUGUGAUGUGCAGCCUUAGGAGCAUUAGCUGGAAGCUGUAGAUAGUUUGGCCCAAGACGGUGCCUUUGGGUAUCAGCAUAAGAGAAAAUUCUAGUCUGGAGCAGCUUAUCAUCUGAAUAGUAAACACCAGGAACAAUAAUAGCUGGGCAAAAAGCAAGCUGUUCAUUUUCUGCAAAAAAGUUGUCAAUAUUCUUAUUCAAGACCAAGCGACCCACUGGCAUCAGCGGCAAAAUGUCCUCAGGCCAGAUCUUUGUAACAUCAAGUGGGUCGAAGUCAAAUUUGUCCUCAUGAUCAGGGUCUAUGAUCUGAAUAAAAAGUUUCCACUCAGGAUAAUUUCCAGCUGCAAUUGAAUCAUAUAGAUCUUGGGUGGCGUGGCUGUGAUUAGCUCCCCCGAUCUUAAUGGCUUCAUCCUCUAACAAGGACUUCACUCCACAGGUAGGUUUCCAGUGAAAUUUUACAUAAUGUGCCUUCCCAGCCUUAUUGAUCAAUGUGUAAGUGUUAACACCAGAGCCAUCCAUGUGCCUGUAAUCUUG